rnacentral:rRNA from 1 species
UUAUUAAAAACACAGCACUGUGCAAACACGAGAGUGGACGUAUACGUUGUGACGCCUGCCCGGUGCCGUAACGUUAAUUGAUGGGGUUAUCCGUAAGGAGAAGCUCUUGAUCGAAGCCCCGGUAAACGGCGGCCGUGACUAUAACGGUCCUAAGGUAGCGAAAUUCCUGGUCGUGUAAGUUCCGACCUUCGCGAAUGGCGUAAUGAUGGGCAGGCUGGCUACCCCCGAGCCCCUGUGGUUGGAGCUGAGACCAGUCGAAGAUACCAGCUGGCUGCAACUGUUUAUCAAAAACACAGCACUGUGCAAACACGAAAGUAGAACUAUACGGUGUUACGCCUGACAGUUGUCGGUAAGUUAAAUGAAGGGGGUAUCCGUAAGGAGAAACUCUUGAUCGAAGCCCCGGAAAACGUAGUCCCUAAAUAUAACUGUCCUGAGGUAGAUAAAUACCUUGUCGGGAAAGUUUCUAGCUGAAC